GCCGGUCUCGUGGCAACGAUCUGUGGUAGCCAAACCGCCGAAGCCAACGCCAGGAGCGCAGUGCCCUCUGGGAAAUGUAGUGCAGCUGGAAGGUUCUUAGGAUUCUCGAGGCUGUAGAGCCAGAGCCUUAGAACUACAACUCCCAAUGUCCAUCACGAGGGCUCGAGGGUGGGAAGAGACCCCACGAGCUGCGUCCGUGGUUCCAGGCUCCCCAGUGACAGUUGCGGCAGGAGGCGGGCGGGCGCUAGGGCUGUUGUUGGAAGGGAGAACACUGGACGAUAACCCACGUAACUCGCAUCUCUUGGCCCAGAGUCUGUGCAUGGCGAAGUCCCCAGGGAACUCUUCCCUGGAGGAGAUUCUGGGGAAGUAUCAACGGAGUCUCCGGGAACGUGCCAGUAGAAGCAUCCAGCAACUGAAAUGUGUGCUGAAAGAAAGUGAUGGUGCGAUUGGAGAAGAUGCCCUGGACCCAGCCCCUAGCAUCAGUGCAGGAAACGAGGGCACCGAGGCAGCCUUGCAUGAACUGCAACACUGUCAUGCUGUUAUUCAGCUCAAGGCAUUGUUGCACCAACAAGAAAGUAAAGAAAGUGAGGCAUCUUCAUUACGAAAACAAAAAAUGUCCCCUUUGAGAUCAUCAGAAUAUGAGGAAACCAGUAUACCUACAGUGCAAAACCUUGUACCUAUCAUUAAUGACCAAUCUCAGUACAUUCAUCAUUUAGAGGCAGAAGUUAAAUUCUGCAAGGAGGAACUCUCUGGAAUGAAAAAUAGGAUAGAAGUAGUUGUACUUGAAAAUGAAAGGCUCCUGCAAGAAAUGCAGUCUCAAAGACAAGAGGAGACAAUGAGGGAACAAACAUUUCUGGAUGCAUCUGUGAGACCAAAGCUUAACUAUGAAGAAAAGUAUGAAAUCCUAGAAUCUGAAUUGAAAUCUUUAAGGAAAGACUAUGCUGGAUUUCAGAAAAAAUAUGAAGAUCUUAAAGAGCAGCUAAAGCAUAAAGAGUCUCUUCUUGCUGCUAAUCUUUCUAAUCGCGUUGGUGGUCUUUGUUUGAAAUGUGCUCAGCAUGAAGCUGUCCUUUCCCAAACCCAUAAUAACAUUCAUAUGGAGACCAUCGAAAGACUAACUAAAGAAAGAGAUGACUUAAUGUCUGCAUUAGUUUCCGUAAGGAGCAGCCUGGCAGAUGUGCAGCAAAGAGAAGCAAGCGCUUAUGAACAGGUGAAACAAGCUGUGCAAAUGACCGAAGAAGCCAAUUUUGAAAAAACCAAGGCUUUAAUCCGGUGUGAGCAGUUGAAGAAUGAGCUGCAGAGGCAGACAGAUCGCCUUGAAAAAGAACUUGCAUCUCAGCAAGAGAAAAGGGCCUUAGAGAAAGAAAGGAUGAAAAAAGAAAUAACAAAGGAGAGGCAGGACUGGGAAUCAAAGAUGUUAAUCCUGUCUCAGAAUAUUGCUGAACUAGAGACCCAGGUGGAAAAGGCUACAAGGGAAAAGAUUUCAGCUAUUAAUCAACUAGAAGAAAUUCAAAACCAGCUUGUUUCUCAGGACAAGGAUGUCACAAAGGUGUGUGGAGAAAUGCGCUUUCAGAUGAAUAAAACCAAAAUGGAGAGGGAUGAGGCAGAAAAGGAACACAUAAAGUACAAAGCAAAAGUUAAAAUGGAUCUUGAAAUUAAAGAUCAGGAAAUCGAGAAAUUGAGAAUAGAACUGAGUGAAAACGAGCAGCACUUGGAACAGGAGCAGCAGAAAGCAGCCCGGGCCAGAGAGGAAUGCCUGAAACUAACAGAACUGCUGGGCGAAUCUGAGCACCAACUGCACCUCACCAGACUGGAAAAAGGUAGUAUUCAGCAGAGCUUUAGCAACGAAGCAAAGGCCCAAGCCCUUCAGGCCCUGCAAAGAGAGCAGGAGCUGACACAGAAGAUACAGCAAAUGGAAGCCCAGCAUGACAAAACUGAAAAUGAACAGUAUUCACUGAUGACCUCCCAGAAUACAUUUUUGACAAAGUUGAUGGAAGAGUUCCGUACAUUAGUCAAGAAGAUGGAUCAAAUCUCUAAAAAAAGCAGAUCUACGAAAGCUCAACUCAUUCAAGAAAAAAGGUAUAUUUAUGACAAACUGGAAAAAUUACAGAGAAGAAACGAUGAAUUGGAGGAGCAGUGUGUCCAGCAUGGGACAGUACAUGAAAGAAUGAAGCAAAGCAGCUGCUUCAGGAAGCGAAUCUUAAAUCCUAGGAUUUAAUGUGUCAUUGGACUCCAGUUGGCAGAAGAAGACCAAGACUUGAAGUGUGUGCUGUGAGCUUCAGGUGGCAGAACCAAGAAGGCCUCCAUGGAGUCAGUCCAUCCAACAGCAGCCAGCAGCAAGGCCCAGGAGAGACCUGAUAAAGCUGUCCUGGAUAAGAACAGUAGAUGAUAGCAGCCUCAGGGACAGCUUGACAGAGUUCAUGUGUGUCCUCAUCUUUUGUACUGCUCUGCUUCUCUUCACUUCCACAGCCGUGGAUUACCUGUCAUUGAUUGUGAAUAUUCCUGCAAUUGUGUCUUUGGUUAAUGUCUGUCUAUUUUAUUUUCCUUAUUUUCCCCAUAGAAUCCUACUUUGGCUUCUCAGCUCUGACCAAGCCUGCACUCUGCAUUCCACGCCUUAGAUCCUCUUUGGUAUGAGUUGCCUAAAAACUCAAACCAUAGAGAGCUAUUCCAUUCUCUCCAAGAUCUUGGAGCAGUUAGCAUUUAUUUCUAUUUUUUCAAAUUAUUUUACUUCCUUAAUUAUAUUGUAAGCUUAUUGCAGAGAGGUGUCGUGUCUGUAGUGGACCAUUUCAAGUUAUCAUAGCAAAGAACUUUGGAUAGGGGGCAAAAGCUCUAAGUUCGUAAGUUGUAUAAGCCAAAUGAACUCUUUCAGAUUCAAUGUCCUUAUCCAUAAAACAGGAAUUAAAUACCAGGCAGAAAAGUUAUGAGCAUCAAGUUAGAUCACAUAUAUGAAAAUUUUGGGGAAAACAUAAGUGCUGAAUAAAUGUAAUAGAAUAUUAUUGUAAUCAAUAUAAAUAUUAUAAUCAGCAUCAUGGCAUCACAGUAUCUGGUAGAUAGCAGGACCUUGUGAUCUAUAACACAAGACUGCACUUUUAUAAGUAAAGAAUCUGUAGCAGAGAAGCAAUUUUAAAUUUCAUCAUGAGAGCAGUGUAGAGGGGAAACUGAGACUUUAAGAGGUUAUGGAAUGUACCCAAGCUCACGUAGCUAAUGUGUGGCAUUGCAAGUCUAGGAAUGCAGGGGCUAUCUGUUUCCAGAGCCCGUGUUUUUGACCACUGUGCUGCAGCCCUUAAGUAGGCCAGCCUCUGAGUCGGGCUUGGACUCCAGGUUCCCAGAAUCCAAGUCCAGGAAGCUCCCUGGCAGAUUUUUCCAUUCCAAGUUGCUAGUGACAGUGUUACAUGUAACAGUCAAAUUCUCUGCUAGGGGCUUUUCAGGCUAAUGUGCCUUAGAGAUCUCCCCAGGUUGCCACAAGACUAAAUGAGCUUUUAAAAAGACUUUUUAAUUACUAAUGGAACAUAUGGUGCACAGUUAAGAAAAUGGGGCUUCUGGAGCCAUUCUGCCUGGGUUCUGAUCCCAGCCUCACCACUGAGCCUGCUGUUGACCUUGGGCAAGUUACUUCACCUCUCAAUGAGUUAGGUGCUCCAUCUGUUAAAAGGGAGAAAGGAUACACCUACAUCUUAGGGUUGCUAUGAUACUUAAAUGAACUGGAGUCUGCCUGGCACAUAGAAAAUUAUAUAUGUUUUUUGUUAAAUGACACAGUUUUUGAGUUUACUUUUGCAAUACAUACUUAAUGAUAAAUCAUUACUAAUUUAAAAAUAAACCAAAGGAAAAGAAGAACACAAACUAUCAAGUCUUCCUUUAAAAUCAGAACAGCUCCAGGGGCUAGUGUUGUGGUACAGCAGGUUAAAUUGUUGCUUUUAACGCAUGCAUCUCAUAUCAGAGCACUGGUUCAAGUCCUAGCUGCUAUGCUUCCUAUCUAGCUCCCUGCUAAUGUGCUUGGGAAGGCAUCAGAAGAUGACCCAAGUACUUGGAUCCCUACUACACAUGUGAGAGAACAAGAUGGAGUUCCUGGUUUCAGCCUGGACUGAAAGCAUCCCUGGCUGUUGUGGGCAUUUAGGGAAUGAAUCAGCAGAUGGAAGAUUAUCUCUCUCUCUCCCUCCCUCCCUCACUCCCUCCCUGUCUCUCCCUUCUCUCUCUCUCCUUCUCUCUCUCUCUCCCUUUCCCUCUCUCUUUCUCUCUCCCCUUUUCCCCCUCCCUCCCUCCCUCAUGUGUGUGUGUGUAUGUGUGUGUAUUCACUCUGCCUGUCAAAUAAAUAAGUAAAUAUUUUAAAAAUAAAAAUUAAAUCAGCUCUACUGAUAGGACUGUAAAAUCAUCACUUUUCUUUGGAAAUGCUCAGUUUUAGGAUGUUUUUGUAGAGUUUUGUUCCAUGGUAGACCUAUUUCACCUGGCUUGGAAAGAGCAGUUCAGUGUGCCUCUCAGAGUGCCUGUGAGUCAGUUUGAAGAAUUGCCGAAAUUCUCAGCAAUGGCUAAAAGGCCAUUGACUUGGACUUGAACCUGUUUGUGAGGCUCUUUAGGCAGCAGUGUCCCAUUGUGCUCUUUUAGCUCUUUGAUGUUGCACAAAAGAUUGAAAUCCAAGCUAAGUUGAACAUAAUGAAUUAGCUACUUGGUAGGAUACCAAGUCUUUUGACUUUUCUUUGGUAAUUUUGAAUAAAAUAACUUCUGAAGUGAUUACAUAAGGAGAGCAAGCCUUCAGUGCUUUUUAAAAAGUGCUUUUCUUUGUUUAGUUGAAUGCAUAUAUGCAGGGGAUAAAAAACAACUUCCUGCAUUGUUUUGAUCAUGUAUAAUAUGCAGUCUGCUGGUGAUAGAAAUUUAACAGAUUAAAGAGGAUAUUUGGCUUUAUGGUAAUAAUAUCUUGUUAAAUCAUCAUACUUGAGGGACUUUUGUUUUGCAGAAAUCAAUUGGUUUUUUAAAAUAGCUGUUAUCCAUGAAAUAACUUUUUUGGUAUGUGAACAUGGGAAGAACCAUUUUUUCUUUAUCAUCCUUGGAAAAUAUACAUUAGUUUAAAGAACAGUUAUUAAAAAGGCAUUUUAUAUAAAUACAGAAAAACAGCAUUGGAGUAGCUUUUGAGUCACUCUUGUCCACUAAAUAUAAAUUGUAAUGUUCAUAUGCUGGGCAAAUGUGUCACUAAAAGAAAGUAGGCCUCUAUCUAGCUGAUGUAUUGCUGACUCUGGCUGCUAAGUGGAGCUCAUCCAGUCCUCUGCAAAUGUGGGUACGGGAAGGAUGGGUACUGAGAUGCCAAAAAUGCCAUUCAUGCUGCUUCCUAACCAGUCAGCACUACUUAUUUGCUAUUUCUUCUUCUUCUUCUUUUUUUGUCUUAUCCUCCCACUCACUUUACAUUAUUCGCCUCUCUCUUUUCAUGGUUGUGUUGCUCUGGCUCUUAGUUUUCAGAAUAUCCACUUCAUUUCUGGAAUGAAAUCUUUGGUCAGAUUCCCUACUCUUAUACAAUAAAAUAGUAUGCCUUGGGAAUGACAUUUAAUUAAAAUUCACACUAUUCAACUUUAAUCCAAAAUCUGAGGCUUACUAAUUAUGAAUCAUGGAAUUUUAAUGAGCUAUCUAGUUGCUAGAAAACUCUGAGUUCUUUUAAAUAUAUAUAUAGAUAGAUAGAUAGAUAGAUACAGAUUUAUCUUGUAGACUUUGAAUUAUGUUAACACUGAGAUUGUUUUAUACAAGCUAGAUCAGCACUUCGAAAGAAAUCAAUCACAACUGUCCUUGAUAAAAAUUUAUGGACCUUUCUAGGCUUUCUGAACUUUGAUAUAGAAAUAAAUAUUUAAUUCAACUUGAUUCUUUAUCACCAUAGAAAUUCAUUCAAGAAAGUUUGAUGAAUAACAGAAGAAAUUUGUAUUCACCAGUCCAAAUCUUAAUUUAUACUCUAUUCCUAGCAUCUGUAUAUAUGCCUACAUUAAUACUGUAAUUUUCCAUGGCAAAAGAGGCUCUUUCAAGACUGAAACUAUUAAAACUUUGUAUUUUCAAUUCCUAAAAUAUCUCAAACUUAUAGCAGUUAAAGUAAAUCUUUGAUGGUUAAUAGCUGAGGUAUGAAUUUGGCUGUGUAGUAAAUGGUUCAUAUUAUACCCAGAGGUGAUUUUUACACCUUUAUCAAGAGUGUUCUUGAGGCUGAGGGUUUGUGAAAAAGAUCCUAGAAGACUGGCAGUUUCGGGCAGAUGUGUAUCUAUACCUCCGGCAUCACUGGUUGUAAUUUAACUAUAAAAAUGUUGCAGCCAUCUGGGUAGCAAAACGGCUGAGGUCUGCUCUUGCCUGUGAUUGUAAGUGUGGAGAAGAUUUGUUGGACUUCGUAUACACUGGAUUUAUAAAAAGGAGAUAUGUCAAGCAGUGACUAUAUGGCAUGCAGCCGGGAUGUAUCUGCAGCCAACUUCCUGGGGUGGCCUUCCUUGGAUAUUCAAGUGUAGCGUUCAAGUGUGUUGGAAUGCCUGCAUGACACACUCCUGCAGGAUUGUAUGUUGGUGCUGCCUUCAGGUUAAAGCCCUGAUUUUCACAGAUUAGCUAAUCUAUAGGAAGAAAGGACAUUAAAAUCACAACAAAACUGCUUUCUAUUAAUAUGUAGAUGUUGUGAUUUUUCUUCAGAAAGAGAAACCAAAUAACAGCCUCACAGUCACAGAAUUUCCUAAUACUGGAAGUUACAGCUUUUACGCUAAAGCUUUCUAGCCUUUUCAGACCACUUUAGGAUCAAUCCUUGAGACCACAUAGUCUUCUUGAUUUCUGUAAAUGUGUGGCUGUAUACCUCCAGUUAGAGCUGUUAGAGUUUUUGCUGAUUUGCUUGGCAUAGCUCCAGCAAAGUAGUCCAUUAAAAUUCAAAUCCUUUCCCAAUAAUUAAGACAAUCAAUUUACAUUAAACAAGGCACAAUUAUAAUUUUAUGUACAAUUUAAAUUCUAUAGAAAAUAAUCAGUUGUGCAAUGAAGGGAGACACUUAUUUUGAUGCAAAGAGGUGUUUUUUUAUAGUCUGCAUUAAACAAAUCUUUCAUAUUUUCACAAUAGUUCCCUCAUUAUCUUUGGUGAUGUAGGAACAAGUGCGUGUUCAUGGCUGCAUGUUUGAUAAGCAAUGAGACUUUCUCUCAGUGUCAUUUAAAUUAAAAGUGUUGAGAUAAACUACUUCUUAUAUAUAAAAAAAGGCAAACAAAGCAGAUGCACGCUGAUUUGUUGCCUUUGUGCCAGCAUUAGUGAAAUGAGCAUCAUUCAUUCAUCUUGAGCUUUUUGCAAUAGACCAGGUACCUAUUGCUCUGCCAGGGGUUUGAGUUGGAUCCCAAGAAAAUCAUGCUCAGAGAUUUGGGAAGGAUGCAUAGGGUGGGGGUGAGGUUGCCAUGGUUGUGUGCCGCGGUGCUGAAGAGUUCCUGGGAAUGCUUCACACCCCCAGCAAGAAGCCUGGAAAGGCAGCCGAUCCCCAGGAACUCGCCUGAAUCCUCCACUGUUCUCAUUUGCAAGCCCAUAAUGAGACUGGUAUUGUCGGUCAGGAAAUCUAGAAGGAUGGAGAAAUAUUAUUAGGAGAAAUAUAGUAAAAAUAAUGACAAGAUAGAAAACAAAUCCUGUCAGAGCCCGAGAAUAUAUUUGGCUUCCGCUUACUGUGUCUGUCUGUUUCCAUAAACGGUCCAGAAUCGAAACCGGAUGUUUAAAAUCUCUCUCCCUUUCACAUGCUCUCCUCCCCUCCUGUCUGCCUGCUUCUUCAGUAUUAGUAGACUUACUAUUUUUAUUAUUUUUUAUUUAUAUUUCUACUUUUCAAUAUUUGCCAUUUGUGUGGAUAACACAUUAAUUUCUAAUGAAAUAUUUUCAGAUUCUUGGAACUCUUGGGAUAGCUGAAUCAUAAAAGAAAACUUGAAUUGACAUAGACUCCAAGGCAGCAUCUAAGCUGGAUGUUACACUUGUGUUAUUUUCCCCACUCACAAAUGGCAAAUGGUUAUUUUUAAAAGACGAUGUGUACUUAGAUUUAAAUUUCUUAUCUUUAUAUAUGCAUCUAGCUUGUAUAAUUUCUGUGCCGAAAAGGAGGUUUUAAUUAAUAAUGGUGAUGAAAUAAAUAUAAAAAUAAUGUGUAAGACAGUGUGCUCCCAUAAUUUUCUUUUUAGCUAGAAACAUAUAUUUAUGAAAAGCCACAUUUCUGAUAAUGCAGUCAGGUGUGAUUUAAACUGACUCUUUUUUUUAAAUUUUAUUUUAUUUAAUGAACAUAAAUUUCCAAAGUACAGCUUAUGGAUUACAAUAGCUUCCCCCUCCCCCAUAACUUCCCUCCCACCCACAACACUCCCCUCUCCCACUCCCUCUCCCCUUCCAUUCACAUCAAGAUUCAUUUUCAAUUAUCUUUAUAUACAGAAGAUCAAUUUAGCAUAUAUUAAGUAAAGAUUUCAACAUAAACUGACUCUUGAGGUUAACUUUAUUUUAGUUCUGUAUAGAAUUAAAGAUCUUAAAGAAGGUGGCACUCAUUUCAUCAGACAAUUUAUUUUCUCCAAUCUGUAAUUGUUUUAAUUUUAUACUUGUCAAAUUAGAAUUAAUGUUGGAAAUUAUUUAAACAAUUUUAUAUGGCAUGCUAUUGUCAAAACCAUAGCUUUGUAAUUCACUUUGCAACUAUAAAGUAAAAAGUUUGUUCCAAAAGCUUUUUGUUUUCAAUAGAGUGCACUGCCAUUUAAGAUGUAACAUCAUUCUUUAAACUUUAUUUAUUUAUUUACUUAUUUAUUUAUUUCUGAGAAGCAGCGAGACAGAGAGCGCCCAUCUGCUGGUUCUCUUGCCAAAUGCCUGCAAUUGCUUGGGGGCCAGAGCUGAGAGCUGGGAACUCAAUCCAGGUCUCCAACCUAGAUGGCAGAAACCCAGUAACUUGAGCCAUCACCACUACUUCGGGAAAUCAAUAUUAGCAGGAAGCUGGAAUCAGGAGCUGAAGUCAGGGAUUAAACCACAGUACUUUGAUGUGGGUUGCAGGAACCCCAACUGGCAUCUUAAUAGCUAGGCCAAAUGCCCACUCCAAAAUGUAACAUAGAUCUUUUCUCAAUGUUCAAAUUAUAAAGAUAUCAACUAUCAAUUUUAUGUUGAUAGCUUCAAUCUUAUUAUAUUAUUUACAUGACAAGUAACUUUCUAUUUUCCUUUCUAAUUAAAAUUUCUAAAGAUUUUACUUUUCUCUAGGAGAGUUACUUAUUUUCAACAUUAAUAGAUGAAUUUGUCUGUUUUUUUUUUUUUUUUCAAACAUUUUCUAUCUAGUGUGUUCCUAAAGACCAAUAAAAUGUUUUAAGGAAGGCUAUUUGUGCUUUGAGCCAAAUAGCCUAGGGUGGCAUUUUGUAGACUCUUGAGACCAGAGAUGUUAUCUGGUCCUACUUCUUUUGUCAUGCACUCUCAUCCUCCAUCCCCAUCCCCAACGCAUGCAUUGUGGAUGAGGAAACUGAGGCUCAAAGAGAUGCGAUUACACCUCCAAGACUAUAGUUCAGCUGAUGACUAGGCUCUGUUUUCUGACUUCUGGUCUAGUGAUUUUCUGUUAUACCCACUCAAUAAUCUAUAUGUUCCCAGACGUAGGGAGAUGGGUUAGAACUAACAAUCAAAAGAAAAAUACUAAGUAGACAUAAACAAUGAAAUGCUUAACAGAAGGUGUCUUUUCCAGUACACUUGACACCAGAGUUAGAUACUUAAUUCAAAGAUCAAGAAAUCAUGACAGAGGAAAUUUUUUUAUGUGUGGAUCACCUGAUUUGUAAUGUCACAUUGUUUUUCCUGCAUUAACCACAUCCAAAUUGCACCUGAUGUGAGUCUCUGUAAACCAACUGAGGACAUAAAGAGCUUGGAAAGCAGCCUCUGUGCAGACUUCGCUCUUUUAAUGACCUUCUCCCCAUCAAGUCUUUGACAUUUAUUUCACACACACCUAAUUUGACAGACAUUUUUGGUGUGUUUAAAAAUUCAGCUUUGUUGAAUCUUUUAAAUCAUCCCAUUUUGUUUUCAUAGAAUCAGCAACUCUUUUUUUUAACCAUCAUAUUUUUGAGUUCACUAAACAUUAAAUUAUGUUUAUGUAAGCAGUGUAAACAGGCUUGGGAAAAAAACGCAGCUGACUUGGGAAGGUAUAUGAGGUAUACCACAACUCGGGGGAGCAGAGGUGCCCAUUUGUGCUGGAGAGUUGAGCAGUCAGUGUCCACCAUAUUGGGUGUGCUGUGGACACCACUCAAUAGAUUUGAAAAGAGAGAGGGUGUGUCCAGGGUAAGUGGCAGUCUACUCAGAGAACCUCUAGGGUCCUUUGGGAGAAACUGCUAGAGUCAGAAAAGUGAAGAUGUACAGCAGAAGAAGUGGCUUCAUCAGAGUGUCUGCAUUGCAUUCUCCAUGCAUAAUCUUUCCCUUCGUCCCAGAGAGAAGCCGACCUGGAGGCAGGAGAAUGGGAACUUUGUUCUCUACUUGCUUUCUCCAUCCCUAGCUUAAGAAUGCCAACCCCACCCUACCUAGAAGCAGGGCCAGCAAAUCAUUCUUACACCAUGCACAUUCAUCACAGCUGUUUGGUGAAAGCAGUGACCACUGUCCAACCAAAGAGUCACCCUCAGAUGCAGUUUUGGGUGACCUGCUGCCCAGUUAGGGAUGCUUGGGGCUGUAGCCAUGAUUUCUCAGGAAGCUAAUCUGCUCCUGGCUGAAAGUCAUGGAAAGUCUGCUUUCUUAGGUUAUACUGCUUAAAAUGCAAAUGGUUUCAAAAUGGAUCCAAUUAAAUUCUUGGAUUAAGAACCUAUACCUGGGGCUGGUGCUGUGGCAUAGAGGGUAAAGCCACUGCCUGCAGUGCUGACAUCCCAUAUGAGUGCCGGUUCAAGUCCUGGCUGUUCCACUUCUGAUCCAGUUUUCUGCUGUAGCCUCAGAAAGCAGUGGAAUAUGGCCCAAGUCCUUAGGCCCCUGCACCCGCAUAGGAGACCUGGAGGAAGCUCCUGGUUCCUGGCUUCGGAGCUCUGGCUGUUGCUACCAUUUGAGGAAUGAACCAGCGGAUGGAAGACUUCUCUCUCGCUGCCUCUGCCUUUCUGUAACUCUGCCUUUCAAAUAAAGAAAUAAAUCUUAAAAAUAAAAAAUAAAAAAGAACCUAUGCUUGGUUUUUAAAAUUAUCAGUGCACUAAGUCUCAUUCCUAAAUAAUGAAUGAACAACUUUUUCUCUUUCUUGAACUGUCUGAAUAUAGUCUUUCCACUCUUCAUUUUAUCUUUUUUUUUUUUUUGCAGAGGGAAGGGGUCUGCACAUUCAUUUCAUUUUCUUUUCUUAAUUAGGUCUUAGUAUUUAUCCAGAUUGUUAUAGCACACAACUGCCUCACAUACACACAGAUACACAUGCACAUGUGCACACACAUACACACACAGAGUUCUAUGUAGCUGCCUGUUCAUUACUUUGCUACACUUGCUGUGCCCAAAGGGGGCAUGGGUAUGGUGGAGUGUAGCAUGAUGUUUUAGGUUUUUUAAAGAUAUUAUUUAUUUAUUUGAGAGGCAGAGUCACAGACUGAGAGACAGAGAAAGGUCUUCCAUCCGUUGGUUUGCUCCACAGAUAGAAACAGCUGGAGCUGUGCCGAUCCGAAGCUAGGAGCCAGGAGCUUCUUCCAUGUCUCCCAUGUGGGUGCAGGGGUCCAAGGACUUGGGCCAUCUGCUUUCUGAGGCCAUAGCAGAGAACUGGAUCAGAAGAGGAGCAGCUGCAGAACCUGCACUGUGGCAUAGUGGAUUAAGCCCCCAUAUGCAGUGCUGGCAUCCCAUAUAGACACUGGUUUUGAUUCCUGGCAGGGACCCAACCACUUGGGCCAUCUUCCGCUGAUUUUCCCAAGUGCUAUAACAGGGAGCUGGGUCGAAAGUGGAGCCAGCGUUGCAGGUGUUGGUUUAACCCACUAUGCCACAAUGCCAAUGCCUAGAUGUUUAAAUCUUCUGACGUAGUGUGUAAGCUAUCUACUUUUUGUAGAGUCAGAGUGUAUAAUGGCAUACUAAAACCUUUAGGCAUUAUUAAUAUUUUUAAAUUUUGAGUUAGCUUUACUUAAAAUGUAAAUAAAAAAUUUGAAAAAAACGUAAAACCUUACAGAUAAGUGUGAGAGCAUUUAUGGCUACGAACUUCUCUGUGGGGCUGUUGCUGGAGACAUGUCAGCGACUUAAUCAUGCAAAUGGCCCUGUGUGGCACUGCACAGAGGAGCUGAAUAGUCUCUGCCUGGCUUUUUGAUCAUCUUUCACCCAUCCUAUCCCUAUCUUGGUUUUUAUCUUCACUUACAGUCUAGUGUGUGGCAAGAUUACCAAGCCCUUGAUUUCUUUUUCUUUCUUUUUUUUUUUUUUUUUUUAAUUUUUUGACAGGCAGAGUGGACAGUGAGAGAGAGAGACAGAGAGAAAGGUCUUCCUUUGCCGUUGGUUCACCCUCCAAUGGCCGCCGCGGCCGGCAUGCUGUGGCCAGCGCACCGUGCUGAUCCAAAGGCAGGAGCCAGGUGCUUCUCCUGGUCUCCCAUGGGGUGCAGGGCCCAAGCACCUGGGCCAUCCUCCACUGCACUCCCUGGCCACAGCAGAGAGCUGGCCUGCAAGAGGGGCAACCGGGACAGAAUCCGGCGCCCCAACCGGGACUAGAACCCGGUGUGCCGGCGCCGCUAGGCGGAGGAUUAGCCUAGUGAGCCGCGGUGCCAGCCCAAGCCCUUGAUUUCUGACUCAUGCUGCUGCUCCUGGAUGUAGUUGUUGCAAACACUCACUCUGCCUAACACUGGGAGCCUACUGUCCACAGGUGAAGCUUCAGCUGUGGUUAAUCCAAACUACCAGACUGUGCCAGGAAUGGAUUUGGAUAGAAACCAAUCUUGAAGGAUUUGGUUUUCUCUGUUACCACUUACCUGACUGUAAUAAGCAAAGAGAGUAAACAUGGUUUUUCCAGUGGUUCAUGGGCUCUUAAAAGAUAUUGUGGUGGUGGUUGUUAUGUUCUUUCUUUUUUUUUUUUUAGUAAAUAUAAAUUUCCAAAGUACAGUUUAUGGAUUACAAUGGCUUUCCCCCCCAUAACUUCCCUCCCUCCUGCAACCCUCCCCUCUCCUGCUCCUUCUCCCCUUCCAUUCACAUCAAGAUUCACUUUCAAUUAUCUUUAUAUACAGAAGAUCAAUUUAGUAUAUAUUAAUUAAAGAUUUCAACAGUUUGCACCCACACAGAACAUAAAGUGUAAAAUACUGUUUGAGUACUAGUUAUAGCAUUAAUUCACAUUGAACAACACAUUAAGGACAGAGAUCCUACAUGAGGAGUAAGUGCACAGUGACUCCUGUUGUUGACUUAACAAUUUGACACUCUUGUUUAUGGCAUCAGUAAUCUCCCUAGGCUCUAGUCAUGAGUUGCCAAGGCUAUGGAAGCCUUUUGAGUUCGUCGACUUCGAUCUUAUUUAGACCAGGUCAUAGUCAAAGUGGAAGUUCUCUCCUCCCUUCAGAGAAAGGUACCUCCUUCUUUGCUGGCCCUUUCUUUUUACUGGGAUCUCACUUGCAGAGAUCUUUCAUUUAGGUUUUUGUUUUUGUUUUUGUUUUUGUUUUUCCAGAGUGUCUUGGCUUUCCAUGCCUGAAAUACUCUCAUGGGCUCUUUCUUCUUGGGAAUCAUUUCUGAAUAUAAAUAGAAAAUGGGUGGUAAUUCAUUUAUUCACUGUUCGUAUAUACAAUCUUAAGAUAUUUACUGAUUUUCAACUGUGAAAAACAGGGACCUCUGGCAAGCUUAGGGAUUAAAAAGAUGCGUGAGACUUAUUCCUUGACCUUGAGAAUUCACCACCCAGGUGCUCUUGCCUGAACUUACCAGGUUAGCUGUCAUUUCUCCAGCACAGCUUUCCUUAAUUACUCUAUCUGCAUUACUUAACACUUUGAAAGAAUAGCUUGACCACACAGAUAAGAUGUAAUAAUUAUUCUUUGAAUGUUAGACUAUAAACUCCUUUAGAACAGAAACCAUAUCCUAGUCAUCUUUGUAUCUCUUUCAUGUAGCACUGUGCCUAGAACUUAGAAGAUACUCACUGAAUGAGUUUGUAAUCCUUUUUAUCUUCUUUAUUAUCAUCUUUUAUCAUUUUUUAAAUAAAUCUUUUAUAGUUUUCCAAAACUGUAGAAGAGCAAAAAUGGUACAAAAGCAUAACUUGAUAUGUGACUACAGCUUUUUAAAAUAUCAUACAACUUCUCAUCUAUAUUCUUAAUAUUUGAGAAACCUACUUAGAAUGAGUAUAUGUGUAUCUAAUUAGUAUUAUUAAGAAUACAUGGAGCUGGCGCUGUGGUGCAGCCGGUAAAGCCACCGCCUACAGUGCCAGCAUCCCAUAUGGAUGCUGGUUCUAGUCCCGGCUGCUCCACUUCCUAUCCAGCCCUCUGCUAUGGUCUGGGAAAGCAGUGUAAGAUGGCCCAACUCUUUGGGCUCCUGCACCCAUGUGGGAAGAUCCGGAGAAAGCUCCUAACUUCUGGCUUCUGAUCUAUGCAGCUCCGGCCAUAGCAGCCAAUUAGGGAGUGAACCAGCGGAUGGAAGACCUCUCUCUCUCUCUCUCUCUCUCUCUCUGCCUCUGCCUCUCUGUAGCUCUGCCUUUCAAAUAAAUAAAUGAAUCUUAAAUUUAAAAAAAAACUGUUGAAAUCUUUACUUAAUGUAUACUAAACUGAUCUUCUGUAUAUAAAGAGAAUCGAAAUGAAUCUUGAUAUGAAUGGAAGGGGAGAGGGAGUGGAUAAGGGGAGGGUUGCAGGUUGGAGGGACGUUAUGGGGGUGAAGCCAUUGUAAUCAAUAUUCUGUACUUUGGAAAUUUAUAUUCAUUAAAUAAAAGUUAAAAAAAAAAAAGAAUGUAAAGCUGAAGUUUGUAUAAUGAUAUGCAUCCCAUGGGCAUUCAAUAAAUAUUAAUCACAACAAUUAAAUAUGCUUUGACCUCAUUAAAACUAGAACAGUUCCCUCUGUCUAUAAGGCUAUUUUACAACUCAUGGCAUUAUUGUUGGUCCCUAUUUUUCAAAAUUUGUAGAUCAUGUUUAAUGGAGCUGAGGUUAUUAGCAGUUAUAUAAAUGACUUUAAAUUUACAUAUUUUAUGACAGUCAUUUUGAAUGAGUUUAUAUAGUUUCCAAGCUUUUGGUUUCCACAUUGGUACUAUAUAUAUAUAUAUAUAGAUAUAUAUUUUUUUUUUGACAGGCAGAGUGGACAGUGAGAGAGAGAGACAGAGAGAAAGGUCUUCCUUUUGCCGUUGGUUCACCCUCCAAUGGCCGCCGCGGCCGGCGCGCUGCGGCCAGCGCACCGCGCUGAUCCGAUGGCAGGAACCAGGAGCCAGGUGCUUUUCCUGGUCUCCCAUGGGGUGCAGGGCCCAAGCACCUGGGCCAUCCUCCACUGCACUCCCUGGCCACAGCAGAGGGCUGGCCUGGAAGAGGGGCAACCGGGAUGGAAUCCGGCGCCCCGACCGGGACUAGAACCCGGUGUGCCGGUGCCGCUAGGUGGAGGAUUAGCCUAGUGAGCCGCGGCACCGGCCUGGUACAAUAUAUUUUAAAAAUAACUGUUAAUGUGCAACUUUUGUGACUUUUUUUCUUAAUCAACAAAGUUUGGCUUUUUGUAUAAUGCUAAUAGUUUCUUUAUCAUAAAUGAAAGGAUAAUAUAGAAUUGAGGCUCAGAAACACUUGUAUUCUGUCAUGUGGUCAGGCAGAGCAACCCCUGGAAGAUGAUCCUUGGAAAGAGAAUAUCAUUUCUUGUCCAGACCAAACAUACUUAACUUCUAACUUCUGAAUCUUUUCUACUUUAAAAUAAUUACUUUUGUGACCCAUGUCUAGAAAUGCUUCAGUUUUUCCACUUGGCCCUAACGCAUCAUGUUAGUGUUGCAUUUCAUAUUUCUUGUUUCUGAAUUAUGCCACUGUGGUAAGGAUUCUCUCCUACUGGGCCUGACUGGAUCACAAGAGUACUUGACUCCUUUUGUUUUUUUUGCCUAGAACAGGGAGGCCUAUGAGGUAGCAAGUGAAAUAGCCCAGGCAGCCCCUUAGCCCUUUUCCCACAGGUCUACAGUCCCAUCUUGGGAUUCUAGAUUUCACUUCAACACAGAGAAUAAAGGACUCCAAGAAAAGGCUUGUAUGUAUUUGGACCUGAUCUCUAGACCUCUCACAUAAGAACUACUCUUUCAGAAUAUGGGGUAAAGUAGAGUUAAUAAAAUCUUGAGCUCUUACUAGAUGCCAACAUUUCCAAAUUUUAGGCUGGUAGUCACUCCCUCUUAUUUAUAUAGUAAAUAUAUCUAUUUUCUAGCGCUGUAUCAUGGCAUUUCAUGUCCUUCUUCCUCAUGAGAUUGUGAACCAUGCAUUAUCAGUCUUUAAAGUUCCAGUAUAUAAAUCUGUGUGGAAUUAAUGAACAAUUCUCUAGGAACUACUUUAAUUUUAUGUAAUGGGUUAAUGGUAAUAUAGGCUGAUUCUAUAUAUAUAACCUCCUAUCAGUUCACCAAGCCUUUAGGAUUUGAACACAGUCGGCUUUAUUAGCUAUUUUCCAACCUUUUUAAGCUCCAGUGUAGCUUGGUCCAUUCAAAGCAAAACAUAUAUAAAGGAGAUUGCAUAUCUAUUACAUGAUAGGAACUUUGUAGGCUUUGGAGGUAUAGAAUAUGAAACAAUGCCUGACUUCUAGGAAUCCUUGUUCUGAUAGGGAAAAGAGAGGUUUAAAGGUUUUUCUCUGGCCUGUCUUAGAAGAGAUAUGCAUGGUGCUUAGUACACAUAUGCAUGUAGUGACAUGAUGUCACAAUACAGAGGCACAUAUCCAUCCUGGGAGAUGCUGAGUAACUUCUUGGAGGAAGGGAUGCCAGAAUGUAACUUUAGAGGAUGCGCAAGGAUGCAUUCUUGGCAGACUGGAAAGCUAGAAGAAAAUUCUGGAGGAGAAAACUGACAAGCUUUGGGGAGGAACUAUAAUCAGCCUGUCUCACUGGGGGCCGGAUUCCAAGGAGGCAGCCCGUGUGCUCACAGGCCAGGAGAGCCAGGAUUUCAACAGUGUCAACAAUCUUUGCUCAUCAUACCAAAAAAGCCCUGUGUCGGUGCCGACUCAUUAGCAUACAGCCGUGCGGUGCUUGCUAACAAAGCAGGCUCUGGGUAUCUGCUAGUUUCUCAGCCUGUCGGGCUUCCUUGACCGAAAAGAAGAAAUCGCCUCAGGCAAGGAUGCUGUCCGAGGAUUCUCAAAGAGAGUGAGAAAGAGAGUUUUGAACUGGUUUUAAAGUAAUCAUCCCUUGGAGAAAGGAGACCGUCCAUUCUUUGUUUUUUGUUUUUUAAUUUUGUUUUAAAUCGCUAAAGAGAAAAAAAAAAAACAAACCCUGGCUAUCUAGUUAAAAAUGAUUGAACCUUGAAUAAUUCCUGGCCAUCCCUUUAAUGGUUUUAUUUUGUUAAAACACCUAAAAAAAUUAUCUGUCUGGGCAGAGGUAUACAGCGUGCCCUUCUCUCGGUCUGUCUCUAUCCCUCUUUUGUUGGGGGGAUGGAGGGAAGAAGAAACGUACAAGCAGAUGUGCUGCUAGAUCUACAGGCUUCUGCCAACCAUAUGGCAUCUUAAAGAAAGAUGGUUGGAGCGUCUGGAUUAGCAAAGAGUCGGGAUGGGAAGCCAUGUGUCGUGUUGGUACAGGCAGUUGUUUGAGCUCUCUCUAAAUGGCUUCAGGAGAUUGUGUAAUGGAACAAAUGGUCCUGCGAGCCCAGGAACAGCCUUGCCGCUGCUGGAGAGGCAAUUGGCCCUCGGGCGGGUGCUGCUCCCCUUGCUCCCCCAGUGUUAUGUUUUCUUCUUCAGUGUUCUUCCGACUCGCAGGAUUGACUCAGAACUUGUCCAUUUAGAAUUAUGCUCUGGGUUCUCCCGCCUCUAUGUCCGGGUGAAUGCUCUCUCCCUAAUUUGGUAAUUAAUAAUGUCUUCCUCAGUAUCUGCUCCCUCAGCCCUCGGCAGGGGGUCCAAGCUCAGCCUCUGACAAAGGAGGUUAUCCAGCUAUUUGGGGGGGAUGUGUCCCUCCCACCAGAGUUUCCAGAAACCCUAGGAGAUGGAAAACCUUUCAUUUCUUAGUGAGCUGAGUUUUAUGAGAUCCUUGGUGUUGAACACAUAAGAGGUAUGUCUCCUCACUGUUUGGGGGCCUUGUGUGUAUCAUUUACACACACACACACACACACACACAUACAGUAACUCCAUUACAGUGAACUCAUUGGACUGCCAUUUACUAAGCAAUUUGAGACCUCAGGACUGUCCUCCCUAAUACAAAAUGUAGACACAAGUUUGAGAAUUGAGACACUGUGAUGCUGGCAGCACGUUGGCAGUAUUUCAGCUAUGGUCAAGUCCUCAGACCAUUCUUGUUUUGAGAGGCCAGAAGCAGAAGAUGCCCUGAGACCUUGCAGGCAGUGCAGAUCUGCUGAGCUUGCUGUCUUAGCCUAGCUGCGUGGACGGUCCACCUACAUUCUAAGUCAGACGGAUCUUAUCUUCUGGUGGUUUCAUUGUGCAUGCAGUGCAACAUCUUUAGCUGCUAGAAAAGUUAGCGGUUAAAACUUACCUCCACCUUCCUGGAGUAAGAUAGCAAGUGUAUCACAAAUUGUGCUUAUGGAAGACGAAGUGGCUCCGCUCAUGGAUUUGUUCAGAGAACCUGACAUCAAAUAAGUUUGAAUUAGGUGGUCAGUGCGGGUCAGUGAGGGCUGGCUGCUUAGUGCCUGGUUUAGGCUGCACAUUAUGCGAGCAGAGUGCACUGAAUACCAACACCUUCUUUCUCAUAGGCAAUGACUCUAACUACACAGGUCACCAUAAUGGGAGCAACUAGGAAAUGCAGCAUUUGGGAUGAAUAUGAGUUACCUGUGCUCAACUCUAGGAAAUAGGAGGCUAGCCAUGUCUGUUAUGGCUUCCCUCAAAGCGACUUGGAGCAAUGAAAAUACAUUCUAAUUUAUUUACUGCAUAAUGAUGCAAAGCCUUCUCAAAAAGAGAAAUGAAAGCUACAGAAUGGCUGACUGGGCUCCAGUAGGAGAAAAGGGCACAGAACCUAGAAAUGGGAAUGUGUCUUCAGACUGUCAUCAUUUGGAUGCACUUGCAGCUCAGGCAAGCAAGUUUUACUAUCUUAAAGUCAUCUGAAAAAAAAAGCAUCCAAAGACUGUUAGUCUUCAUUGAUAACUGUUUUCUGCAAGGAUAAGAUGUCACUCAGAAAUUUCAAAUAAAGCACUGUUUCCUUUUUGUGCAUUCUUUGUAUUUAAAAUUUUAUUCUUCUAGAUUUGAAACACUGCUUUUCUAAAGAGCUCAUUUCUUACUGCACAUGUGAAGUGUUAGAGUAUUCCUACUUUGUCCUCUGAGUCUGAGAUCUGUGUGGGGGUGGAGUGUCUAUGGAAAGCAUAAUUUUGAUUGUUAUCUACCACAUGGAAGAAAUUACCACUUUACUCUCUUUUACCUUCCAAGUGUACAGGGUCCCAAAUUUGUCAGCCUUAGAAUCUCUUGAAACAAUGCAAUUAAACUGCAACAUAUUUCCUAACAUUCUUAAUUAAGACAGUGACUGAAAAAUGUAGAUUAACAGAAGUUACUGUUUUUAUCAACAUAUUUUCUCUCUUUCCCGCCACCAUCACAUCCUCCUUCCCCCACCCCUUUUUGCUUUAAAUGUCUGAUGUCAGUUUCGUCCACAUGUACAUUAUGCACAUGGCACUGAAGAAACAAAGUAAAAAAUUCUCUUUUAAUUCUGAGCUGCAUGCCCAGCGCCACAUGCACUGUCUGUUACAUGUCGCUUCUUAUGAGGUUCAUGCUGGGAGUUUCUUUUUAAAGGCAAAGUGUUUCUGAAGGAAAGAGUUCAGGUUGGGCAGAUUGUGUUAGAAAAAUCGCACUGCCUCCGAGUGGAAUUAAUACACUGAUUCUUCUGUGCAGGCUCAAACUGGCAGCGUGUGCAAAAGUUCAAGAGUGUCUGGGAAUUGAAAUAUGGAGGAGAAAUCGGGAGAGGGAGCAGAGACAAAGAAUUGGAAGUAGGGCUCAGAAGUGAAACUCAUGGUAACUUUGUAAAGAAAGGGAGAGAAUUCAAGUAUGAACUGGGUCAUAAAGCAGUUCUGGCUGACAGUAUUGUCAUCACGAAGUCCUGUUUUCCCUAGCACAUUUUAGGACUGAUCUUAAAAUUCAGUGUAGCUAUUGGGAUGGAGGUGGGGGCAAUGCCAUACCCAGCACCUUUUCACCCACCUUGUUUGAGUCCUUGCUAGUUUCAACUAAGUCCCAUGAGAAGCAUAACCUCUAAUGUAGAAAUCAAAACAGGCUGUAAUACUCCCUUGGCCUAUAGGCCAAGAUUUUUCCCUCUUUAAUUAAAAUUUGAGUCCUUCCUGAUCAUCAACAAACAGCGUUUCAUUUAUUUGUUUACAAAUAAGGAAUUAAAAAGUAAGAUGAGCAAAUACAACCACGCAGCACCUUUCUCAUCACGAGGAAAUCAACCUUUCUCCUGAUUUCUUCUCAGGGGAAAGAAAUUGGGACGUGAGCGUGGAGUUAAUGAAGCUUUCACCCAUCUCCCUCCCUCAACUGCCAUCUCUCUUUAAUCCUCUCCUGCUGCCAAAGUCCAGAGGCCCGUUGAGCCCCCGCGGAGUCUCCCGAGCCAGAUGCUCCGCACCCAGCCUCCCGCCCCCCACCGUCUGAGCUCGCCGCCCUCCAGGUGCGGGGCGCCUGCCCCGAGGAGGUUCGGGGCCCUCCCGGGGGACGGCAGGACGCCGGGCAAGCCCGGGCCGCCGAGUGUCCAGAGGCGGAGCCGGCGGGAGGUCGGCACGGGCGGGGAGACCCGGCGCGCGGCGGCGCUCAGAGCUGGAGCGCGGAGCUGCCGCGGAGUGGGGCGCCUCCGGCCCAGAACGCGCUCCGAGGUGGCCCGAGAGCAGGUGCUGGCGUGCCGGAGGCACUCGCGGAGCCCUGUUGUCUGCUCAGCCUGCAGAAGCAGUUGCCCAGCCUGGGGUAGCAUACCGGCUGGGAGUUCCCGGGACGCGGCGUGGCACUGCAGGGCUGUGCUCCGUGCGCUCGCGGAAAAGCUGAAUACGGGAAGGGCUCGUCCGGAGCGCGCACAGCCGCUCCCUAACUCCGUCAAACUUAAGACUUAAGCAUUCUACUGGCAAGCAGCGGGAGGGGGGGAAAUAUUCUACCUUCUGUUUGGCAGUUGCUCUUUUUCUGAAGCAGGAAAUUCUCUGUGUGGAUGACUCAGUACACGGGUACUCCCACUGCCACAUGGGUCAGGGGCUGGGGAGACGGUCGGAAUCCUGCCCGUGCAUCUUUUAAAAUGGGAGUCUGCAGCCGGUGGGCAUGGAGCUGCCCCCCCAGCCCACCAGGCCCUGUGGCCCCUCUCCUCCUACUGUGCUUUCCGUCAGGACGGCUGCUUGUACUGCCCUGGAACCUAAUUUCUCCCAAAACAACCACCAAGGAACCGGCACCUAGGAAUUAAACCCUACGUGAUUUAACAUGAAAGGUGGAGCAGGGGUUCUUUGUGAAAUCUGGGAGCUGGGGCCUGUGCAGGGAGGGACUGCCUACUGUCCCCUGGAGCAGACCCAGAUGAAAGUCUCGCCUUCCCUUUCCCUUCUGUCCCUCUUAUUCAGGAAAUCUUAAUUUAGGAGAAAAUGAGGAUUCUGUUCCACAAGGAACACUGUGUCUUGUCGCUGGAGCACGCUGCUGCUCCUCUAAGGCUCCCUUGCUAUCCAUCUCAAGGACUGCACGUCUUGUGCACAUAGAUACUUUCUGGUUGGAACACCUAAAAGCUGAUUGAUGACAGGGAGGUGGUACUGAACUGGCAUAUCCCAGAGGAGUCUUCCUAUGUGUUCUCUUUGCCAUCUUCCUCAGUGCCACAGUGAUUCCCUGGGCUACCCGAGCACUGUGUUAGCUUGAGAUGAUAAAACAAAACAAAACAAAAGGAGAAAGGACUGCUGGAAGCCUUCACUGAUUCUUUUGCCACUCGUUAAAAUUCAAAAAUUUGCAGCCCAAAUAUUAAAAAAUUGACUUAGUUCAUUUCUUCUCCCCCACAGUGGCAUGUAACUGGGCAGAAUCGGGCUCUUCUGCUGGAGCCCGCUGGAAACCAAAAUGAGCCCUCCAGCAGGCCUAAUCACUCUGAUCUGUCAUGGACCUUCUAGCUGGAAGAGUUAUGCCAUCAUAUAAUCCCAACACUCAGCACCGUGUGGAGGACCCCCUUUUACUAAAUGAUUUAUUACUCUUAGCAGAAUUCCUUUGGCGGCAGAUUUUAUUUCUGAGUCACUCUGUUCAGCUCAAUUGGUCGCCUUCAGUUACCGUGGCAACCAGCAGAUGGGGUUCUUUGACAAGGGUCAGCAGGGAGGCUGUGUCGGUAUAGAGGGAAGAGAAGCUAAAUAAAAAAGCUUUCGGCAUUGACAGUUCUGUAGUAGAUGUCCAGGAGUUGUUAUCAAAUUACUUGCAUUAAAACCUAAUUAAGAUGUGUGCCAGUAAGUGCACUGUAGUGACUGAAUCUGGUUAUUACUUAGCUGCCAUGGGCUCACUCCUAUUCCAUCGUACCUCUGUGACCAAUUUGGCUAUCCCAGGGAUGGUCAGCAAUGAAGGAAACCGAGGAGGAGCUCACAACAGUGGGGGGCUCCAAACGCUCCAGAACCCCUCUCAGAGGGCUUUGGUCUUGGGAGCACCACGAGGACCUCACUAGAACAGAGUCUUUCUGAAAACACAGCCCUGUCCAUGAACACCUGUUAGAGGGUAGCUGAGCAGGACUGCCCUGCAUCUUAUAGCUUUGUAUCUUUAAGACGGUUGUUGCUUUAAUUGCAAAUAGCACUCAUCCCAAUGAAACGGGUCUUUGGCUCUUCCCAGUUGCAGAAUCCAUAAAUCCACAGAGGUGGGACAACUAAGUGCAAAGGAUAUUUUCUGUAGAAGAGGAAAGGGAUAUUAUUAGGUCACUUGGCAAAACCAGAAUUCAGUAGGUUAACUAAAAGCAUUAUAUUGAUAUUAAAUUCACUGUAGUAGAUAGUAUGCCAUAAGAGAAGAUUUUGUAAGAGGAGAUCUUUAUACACAGGAGGUACACUGCUGCAUCUAGGAGAAAAAGGGCAAUGGUAUAUGCAACUUGUUCUCAAAGGUUCAGAAAAAAGUACUAUAUACUUGUAUACACACGAAAAAGUAUAAUAAAUAAAAUGGGGCAAAAUUAACACAACAGCUGAAUUCAGUUCAGCGAUAUGUGGGUAUUCUUGGAAAUUUUUGUCAGUUUAGCAUUAUUUCCAAAUAAACCAAAAGGAUUCAUACCUUUGGGAUGAGGGAAGGAUAUGAUACAUAAAGCAAUGUGGGCUUUUCUGCUAGUGCUUCUGUAUGGCCUUAAGCCCAGUGCAGCCUGGAUCCUACUCUGUGAUGAUUCUGAUUUUCAGCAAUUUCCAUUCCUCUGCCCCAUUUUCUUUGAACAAUGGGCCGCAGUUGCCAUGACUCUGCUUUUUUUUUUUUUUUUUUUCAAAAGAGCUGGUUGAGGUAACUCAAGCUUGAGACAGAUGGUCUUCUAGGUUCUUUAAGAUCCAAGAUUCUUAGGGCAGGCAUUUGACAUAGGGGUUAAAAUGCUGCUUAAGAUGCCUGCAUCCCAUAUCCUUGUGCCAGGGUUCAAGUCCUGCCUCAGCUUCUGAUUCCAGCUCCCCAGUAAUGUGUACCUUGGGAGGCAGCUGAUGAUGGCUCAGGGUGGAGUUCUUUUAAAGUGGCUUGGAUCCUGAGGCUGGCACUGCGGCUCACUAGGCUAAUCCUCCACCUGCAGCACCGGCACCCCGGGUUCUAGUCACGGUUGGGGCGCAAGAUUCUGUCCCGGUUGCUCCUCUUCCAGGCCAGCUCUCUGCUGUGGCCCGGGAAGGCAGUGGAGGAUGGCCCAAGUCCUUGGGCCCCUGCACCCGCAUGGGAAGACCAAGAAGAAGCACCUGGCUCCUGGCUUCAGGCGGCCAUUUCGGGGGGUGAACCAAUGGAAGGAAGACCGUUCUCUCUGUCUCUCUCUCUCUCUCACUGUCUAACUCUGCCCAUCAAAAAAAGUGUCUUGGAUCCUCAGCAAUUUUUUAAAAUGUUUAUUUAUUUUCAUCUACUUGAAAGGCAGAAUGAGAGUGGGGAGGGUGGAGAGAGCAAUCUUGCAUCUGCUGGUUCACAUCCCAAAUACUUGCAGCAGUCUGGUCUGGGCCAGGCUGAAGUCAAGAACUCCAUCCUCGUCUCCCACGUGGGUGGUAGGGACACAAGAACCUGGGCCAUGCUCCACUGUCCUCCCAGAUGCAUGAGCAGGAAGCUGGAUCAGAAGUGGAGUGGCCAGGUCUCAAACUGACACUCCGAUAUGGGAUGCCAGCAUCACAAGCAGCGGCCUAAUCCCCAGCACCACAAUGAUACCCCUUAAAAUAGGUUAAAUGAAAAAAGAAUGUUGAAGUCUUCUUGCCAGAUCCAUUCACAUCCCUGUUUCACAUUGUGAGGAUCCCUUAUUCCCUGUAUUACAAGCCCCGCCUCUAUCAGAUGGCUUCAGGUUACAAGGUAGGGAUGCAACAGAUGUUCCUCAUCGACUUAACGUGAAACUGUGCCACCUUUCUGUUAGAAGCGCAGUUUUAAGCAGUCAGUCUGUGAAAAAGCCUCAGUGACGUUGUCAGAGGCUUCAGGGUCCUGCUAAAGGCAGUGGCUCUGCUACCUAAAACACUAAAUCUGUUGCCUUGGCCAUUCAUCCAAGCACUGAGCGGUCACUGAGGGCCACUGUGGCACUGUGGGAGCCACCAGUAAGAAGCUUUCCAAGGUGGUACCGGGAGCUUCAGGCCCCCUGUUUUUGCAUCAUUUGUGCUGUACCAGGCUGUGGACUGGGUCAUUGUUGCCCAAAGUGUGGCUUCCAGCCCAAAGCUGGUCCUCAAACUGUUUGUAGCUGGUCUGUGACACAAUGAGAAAUGAAAUCAAGACUGUUCAGAGACUUUGAGAGUAGUUGGACAGUGCGAUCUCAUUUCCAUUGCACAUCACAAAACCAUCAGUCUGUAAUAGAUUGGAAAUUUGAAAGGAAUAAAAAACAAAACCAAAUCUGGUUCUUUCCAUCGAGCUAGUGGGAGAAUCCUAGGCUAGGGAUGUCCUCUUCCUCACACCUUAGCAGCUUCCCAGAACGUUGCCUGGGACAUUAUCUUUCUUAAGAUCCUUCUUGAAAUCUGUAUAUUUUAGUAAGGAAUUAAAGAUUUGGCCAACCCUUUUAAAAACAUUUUGAAAUGCUGCCAUCACUGGAAUUGAAGAGUUACACUUCCAGUGUAAGAUUUGCUAGACAGACUGGGUAACCGUGGGCAAGUCACUUGUCCUCUCUGGGCCUCGGUGUGACCAUGGUGGGCUGAAAUGAAAGGUCUGAAAAGCUCCCAGCUCAAACAUGACCUGAUGGUUUGGGGGAGAAGAGUGGGGUGGGGGUGGUCUUUCCUCUAUGUCUGUUCCCAAGCAGCCCACUAUUUUACCUCUGUAGACAGCCAAAGCUAACUGGAAAUUUGAAAGAAUGAAAAAUUUAAAGGGCAUUACAGGAAAAUAAAUUCUCUUUAUUAACAGUGUAAACUCUUCCCAGGACUGCAUGAGCCUCAGGAUGAAUUAACUCUAUUGAAAUCAUUAUUGACUAGGGUGGAUUUAGACAAAGGAAAUUUAAAAAGCAAAGCAGCCAUUGAAAGUACCUUAACUUUGUGAGUGAGGAUGAGGUGCUGGAAUUGUGUUCUAGACUCCUAAGAAAACUGCUGAUUCUGGCUAAUUCUGUAUGACUGCAUUAAUAAGAUGGAAAUAUGUAAAAUACAGUAACAAUUUCUAAGUAUUGGAUCAAAGCAUACAACUUUGAGGUAUCUAUAAAAAUUAAUUACCUAGACCACUAAUUAGAGUAACAGGAUUUUUAAAACUUCAAUUUGGGUCACCUAGAUACUUGAAGGUGAUACUUGAAGAUAGAAACCUAGUAAAAUUUUAUGAAGUCAUAAAGUAGAAAUGUGGAACUGGAAGAGAUAUUAGAUAUUUUCUAGCCUCAGUGUUUUCUCUAGAAGGUCAGGUAAGAAAUAUUUUAGGCUCCGUGGCCAUGUGGUUCCCAUUGCAACCGCUUAGCCUCGUGGUAUGAAAGCAGCCACAGACAAUCCGUGGAUGAAUGAGCAUGGCCACAUUGCCCUGAAAGCUGACUUAGAGGCACUGAAAGUUGAAUUUCAUACAACACUCACUCAUUAUUCUCUCCCCUUUUGAUUUUUAUUUCAAUCAUUUAAAAAAUGAAAAAAGCAUUCUCAACUAGCAGAUCGUACACAAAUGGGCAGCGGGCCAGCGUGGAUUUGGCCUGUGGUCUGAAGUUUGCUGACCCAGUUCUAGCUUAUCCUCUCAUUUCACAUGUGAAGAAACUGAAAUUCAAAGUGAUCACAGGAUUUGCUUAAGUUCUCAUGACUGAUGCCAAAACAUUUUAGGAGCAGACUAGGAAAGUUUUCAUUUAGACAGUUGGUUGUUUUGAUGAUCAAAAUUGAAGCCACAUAAAAAUUAUUCUCCAGAAGAACUCAUUUUGUAUGUGUGAUUAAUACUGUGAAUUAUAAUGUACCAGUGGUGCUUACACUUGAGAAUUCAUCAGAAUCACCAAGAGGGAGGGCUUAUAAAAAUGCAGACUGCUGGGCCCACCCCCGGCCUUUCCAGUCAGGAGCUGUGGAGGCAGGAUUUUCUGUCUAACAAAUGCAGAACCUGUGCUUGGGAGAGAUCAAACCUCUGGCCCGAUGUGUUCAUGAUGGGAUUUUGAACUCCUGCCUCCCACUUCCAAGUCCCGUCCUUGUUGACCUAUUCCAGGAUUCUUCCAAGUAAAUGGCUGACUCCAAUAGCAUACUUUAUUUAAUUUAAAUGUUACACUUUUUUCAGGAACAAAGUUAUUGCAUAUAAAAGUAACCUGUACCAUAAAUGGCAUCACAGGCCUUACACUUACCAUAAAUAUUGUGCUCAGAUAAGUCAUUUGCUCAUUCCAGUCACCUCAAUGUCGGGCACCUUGCUGCGUGCUAGAGGAGCGGAGCCCAACAAGAUGGCGUUCCUGCCCCGGGGAAAGCCGUAGUUCAAUGGGAGUGGUAGACAGGGGAAGUGCAGAGGAGAGGCCUGGGGGAACUUUGCAAGGUUGGAACAGUCACACUGAGUCUUAAAGGGCCAGGAAGGGGAGGAGUUGGCCACAGGAGGGAAGGGAUUCCAAGCAGAGAGCACAGCAUGAGCGCAGUGGCAGGGAGUGUGGGGCCUUUGUGCAGAGCAGUUUGGAAAGGAUAGGAUGUGGGUGUGUAGGCUGGGGAGAAUUACACCAGAAGCCAAAUAGUGGAAGUUUUGAUCACGCUUGCAAAGGAGUUUGGCCUUAUGCUUAGAUAUACAGGUAGCCAUCACCUGAAUGGAAUUGUGUUCAGAAGGAUCCUUCUACUCUAGCUGUUGUGGGGAGUAUGGAUUCCAAGGGCCAGGGGGAAGCCAACAGCGACAGACCCAUGGGAAGGCUUUGCAGGAAUGUGGAUGAGGAAUGCUGACAGAGGGAAGGGGAGUGGGUUGGACAGGACAGGCUGGGGAGAGGUUUAGAGGGCUCAUCCAUAGAAGCUACGUGGAUGGUAAGGGACAGGGAGGAGGCAAGGAGGAGUUGGGGGGAUGCGAGAUUGGGAGUGAUCUCACCAUGUGAGAGGGACACAGGGAGGAGCAUUGGGAGAUGUGUCCAGCGUGUCACGUGGUGAGAGCCAAGGGGACUGAAAUGCUGAGGGGCGGCGGGAGGCAGGGAUUGAGUGUUGAGGCUCCUCAGUGUCUCCGCUGGAGCCCUGGGUGUGAGAAGGAAACCUGGCAGGUGGAAUGCUUCCAGGGAGUAGCUUGCUGAGCCCGGCUCAGGGUCACACCAGCAUGUGAGGGUCUGAUGGAGGAGGAAGAGAGUCUGGAUAGUAGAGGUCUCCUGUAACCAGGGGAGUUGAAGGAGAGUGAUAAGUAGCACACAGGGCAGCUGGGUGUCUGUGCCUUGCUUUUUGCAUUCACAAAAUACAGAUAAUAAUAAUACCUGCAGUGUGGUAUUGUUAUGGGGAUUACAUUAGUGAAUGAAUGUAAAAUGCUCACAAUAAAUUAGUUAAUGACUAUAAACAGCUUACAAUCUUGGGCAUUUAGUAGAUGCAGCAGCAAAUAUUUAUGGGCACUACUGGGAAUAGUAGAGAAGGGAGUGCAUAUUUUACAGUUACAACAUUUGCACCUUUUAAAUCCAUAAGAUGCUUGAAAAAACGUUCUUCAUGUCCACAGGGAGGCCCCUCUCCCAAGGAAACCGUGUAUCUGUGCAUUUUGAGAACAUUAGAAGAGGAAGGAAAAUCUUUGCCUUAGAGUGACCACAGGGAAGAGGGUGUGGUCUGAAAACAUUUCAGAACCAAAGACAUUUUACCACCACCACCACCACCACUACCACCAAAACCAAAAAGGAAACCAAAGCAAACAAACCCUGCACCCCACAGCAGGCUGUGGCAAGUUCCCGGGUGAAACUAAAACCUCCUCAUUGAAAAAUCUGCGGGCACUGGGGAAGAGGAGGGCUGGCCUGGAGGAGAAACUCUCCCAUAGUGGCCCUGGGGUGCCGCAGUGGGCUCACAAGUGUUCAUUUGGUUAUUAUACCUCCAAACUCUAUUUAUACACUGCAUAUAUUUUGUAUGUAUCACAUACAACAUAAAAAUUUAAAUAUAUGUAUUCACUUGCUUUCACAGUAUUCAUAGCAAAUGAGUGUCUGAAGCAUAGGACCAGAGCUGGCAGCUUGCACCGCUUCUGUUUUGCAUAAGAUAUUUUCCCCAGCCCACUCAGCUCCAUAAAGUUGUUUUGUAUUUCGCCAUUUGCUCCAUCUUAUCUUGAAGUCUUGCAUAUUUUGUUAAAAAUGGUGGUUCUGACAAUGCUGACGGGGUGUGGCUCAGAGGAUUGCUGUUGGCCCAAUAGAGAUGUGCCCAGGGCCCAGCACCCACAUGAGUUAGUUUUUUGUGAUUUUAUCUAUGUUGAUGCCUUUAUAAACCUGGGCCUGUUUGUUCCCAUGGUGACUGCUACCCCUUCCACACCAAGAAUACCUGCUGAGGCCUUGGCACAGAAGGGGGCGGGAUGGGGCCCUGUGCUGAUUGCUCCACACCAGCGUGGGGCAGCAGCCCUUCCUCAUGGACCAGCUGACCGCUGUGAGGGCAGGGAAGCCCAGCUGCUUCAUGGGAAAGGGAUGAGGCCUGGGACAGGGGCAGGAGGCAUAGCCACAAUGACAACACAUUGCAAAUACCAAGCUGGUCCUGAAGGUCUCCCUGGGAUAGGACAACUCUCUGUUUCCAAGAUAAAUGCAUGUCUGGGGACAAAAAGUUCUAAAUUAGAGUGAAGUCCUGAAGUCUGGUGAUUCAGUCUUUCUCCUGCUGUGGGGAGCCUCCUGGGGUCUGCAGGAUGCUGGGGCUCCUUGCAGAAGGGGCUGCUGCCUAAGCAGACCCAGGAUGGCAACCCUGCUUGCUCUUUUGAUGUUUAAGGCCUUGCAGAGGACAUAGCUAAAAACAAGAAAUUAUAGUCUCUCAAAAUAGUAAUGACACAGCCCUAAGCCCUGCAAAGAAGUUCCCAGCCCUGUGAGGACCAAGAGGAGUGACCUCCCAGGCAGAGCUGUGGCAGGUGUGGAGGUCACAGGCUACGGGAGAAGGACAGGGGUGCUGGGUGUGCAGGAGCCCUGGCCAGAGGGAAGAGCAGGAGAGGGACCGAGGUCAUGUGGAGUUGUGUCUUCCUAAGAGGGUGCCCUCCGCUUGGCACAUGUCUGUGCCCCAGGCCGGCACUCUUGUCCUAAGAGGGCCCCUGAUGCCACCUGCUGCCUUGCUCCGUUUCUCAGCAACAGCAGAGCCUUCCGCCUUGGUGGGGCUAGGGAGGCUGCCGAGCUCCGAGCUCCGUGCUACAUGCCUUCUCCUGCCUCAGGGUGGACGGGGCUGCCCAGGGCCCCUUCUUCCCUUGGGAAGCUCACCAGGCCUGCCCCGAGGGUUUCCCUCUCUCUGCCAGUGCCUGCUCCCCAGUGGCUCACGACACUCCCAUCCUCUGCACCCCUCUCGCUGCCUCUCCCAGCCCAGCCCCUCACCCUAAGGAGUGGUCUCCUCUUCCAGCCCCUGAAACAAGGCUCCUGCCCCGCCAGCUCCCAGAGGCUGGCCACACCUCCUUCCAGCCUCUCCUCCCUGCACCUCUGGGGUGGGCUUCUCCUCUGCCUCCUGGGUCUCCUCCCUUCCCAGGGUCUUGUUGGCUUCCAGUCCUCCGCCAGCUGUUGAAAGAGCUUGUUCCUCAAGGCCCUGCCCUGGGCGUCUUCCUGUCACUGCAGCUGAGAUUCUCACCCAGUAGGUGGUGGGGGCUCAGAUGUCUGCAUUUUUAAAAACUGCCCUGUUUGAAAAUCCCUGGCAGCCUCUUCCUGACAAAUCUUGCCUCACCUCCCAGCAGAUCUGGCCUGCACAGCUGGAGCUGUGCCCUGUCCCUCCUAGGCCUUGAGCCUCAGAACUGUGCCCACCUGUCCCCAGAGCUUCUCUUCUACCCCAGACCUGUCGCUCCUCCCGUCCUCUCAGUAAAUCACAACACCUCUGCCUGCUGAGCAGCCACAGCCUCUGUUUGCAGACACACUAUAGCCUUUGCAGUGCUUCCCCCAUGGGAGACCCCGCCCUGCCCCUGCCAGACCAGCACCCACUCAUUUUCCCACUUCCCACUUGCGGGCUGAGUGGCUUUGGACUGACUGUUCAUUUCUCCUGUUGGUGCCUCAGUUUCCUCACCUUUUUUUAAAAGAUGUUUUUAAAAAGAUUUAUUUAUUUGAAAGGCAGAGUUACAGAAAGAGAGUUACAUUGAGGGUGGGUGGGAGACAGAGAGAUCUUCUACCUGCUGGUUCAUUCCGCAAAUGGCCACAAUGGUCAGGACAGGGCCAGGUGGAAGCCAGGGGCUUCCUCCAGUCUUCCCACAUGGGUGCAGGGGCCCAUGCACUUGGGGCAUCCUCUGCUGCUUUGCAGGCACAUUAGCAGGGAGCUGGACUGGAAGUUGGACUCAAAUUGAUGCCCAUAUGGGAUGCUGGUGCUGCAGGCAGAGGCUUAACCCACUGAAGUGGGCAUCAUAGUUAGUUCCUGCCUCACUGAAUCGUGAACACUAAGUACUAAGCACUUAGCACAGUGUCUGGUGCAGAACAAAUGCUCAGCUGUGAUGAUGAUGAGCCACGCCUUCAGCUUCCCAGGCUGCCUGCCAUCCUGGCCGCUUGUAUUCAUGCCUUAACCUCGCCCUAUCUGAACUCUGCAACUGUUUGUUUCCAGGUCAGUCUCCCCUCAAUUGGGAAACUCCCUGAGAACAAGAGCUAUGUGUAGUUCCCAGUAUCCACUUUAGUACUUGACCUUUAAGAAGUAUUUAUCAAGGGUUGGGCUCAUUUUUUUUUUUUAAUUACAGGCAGAGUGGACAGUGAGAGAGAGACAGAGAGAAAGGUCUUCCUUUGCCGUUGGUUCACCCUCCAAUGGCCGCCGCGGCCGGCGCACUGCGCUGAUCCAAUGGCAGGAGCCAGGUGCUUAACCUGGUCUCCCAUGGGGUGCAGGGCCCAAGCACUUGGGCCAUCCUCCACUGCACUCCCGGGCCAUAGCAGAGAGCUGGCCUGGAAGAGGGGCAACCGGGACAGAAUCUGGCACCCCGACCGGGACUAGAACCUGGUGUGCCAGCGCCGCUAGGUGGAGGAUUAGCCUAUUGAACCACGGCGCCGCCCGUUUUUUGUUUUUUGGUUUUUUUAGAUUUAUUUAUUUACUUGAAAGUCAGAAUUGCAGAGAAAGAGGGAGAGACAGACUUUCCACCCGCUGGUUCACUCCCCAGAUGGCGGCAAUGGCUGAGACUGGGCUAGGCCGAAGCCAGGAGCCAGGAGCUUCCUCAGGACCUCCCACAUGGGUGCAAGGGCCCAGUCACUUCUGCUGCUUUCCCAGGUGUAUUAGCAGGGAGCUGGAUUGGAAGUGAAGCAGCCAGGACUUGAACCAGUGCCCAUAUGGGAUGGCAGCACUGUAGAUGACAAUUUAACCCACUGUGCCACAGCAUCGGCCCCAAAGGCGUGGUUUUUUUGAUGAAGUAACUCCAUGAGUUAACCAGCCAUGAACAAUGCUUAAGAAUACCUGGGCACUGCAUGGAUUUGGCUGUAACCAAGUUAAUUAACCACUUUGCUACAGUUUUCUCAUCUGUAAAAUGGGAAUGUUAGCCCAUACCUCAUAGGACGGUUAUGAACUUUUACUUAAAUAAUCGGUGUGGAACAGUUAGCUCCGGGCUCCGUAAGUGUUAGCUGAGGUACUUGGUGGUAGUGGCAGCUGUGGUUGGUUGAAGACAUGCACUUAGGAAAGCAAAAAUGAGACUAAUAGCCACCAUGGGAAAUAAAAACACAACUUGAGUGUUUAUAGGACACCCCGAGAGAUCUAGCUGAUGGUAAUGAAAUGUCCAUUAAUAGAGUGCAGGAAGGGUUGUGCAAGGUUUGAGGCCUUUCCAAAAAUAACUACAUAAUGAAAAAAAUCUGUUUGCCCAAUUUUCAUAAUAGGCCGUGAAAGAGCUGAGACAAAAAUGUGUUUCCUCAACAUCAUAGUCCCUUUUAUCUGAAGUUGGGCUUUUAAAAAACAAACAAACGUGGUUUGGGUUUGUUGUUGUUUUUCCUUUCCAAGCUGGUGACUGCUUCGCUGUAUGUGGAGUGACAGAAGAGGCUAACCCCCACACCCAGGGGUGUCUUUUUUAAAGGGAGAGAAGCACUCCUGAAAGCAACUCCUUGGAGUGAAGUUGGUUUAAAAAAUGAGCCAACUAGACUCCAUCCUUAGCUCUGCAGAGGAGUGAGGGUCUGUGUCCUGGGGGGAGGACUGACUUCUCAGGCAUCCUACUCCUGCAGCAAGGGGGCGUCUGUCCUGAGCUCACACCCAGGCUCUUGAUUCAGCCCAUCUGGGUGGCGCGUGCCCCCCAACCCCAGAACCGCUGCAGCGUCCGAGGCCUACGGUUUGCAACACCCCCCGAUUGAGUCUUGUCAGGGGCGGCCACUGGCCCCACCUCUGGCAGCUGAGCAAGCGUGGCCUGGCCGUGGCUGGCCUUUCUUCCUGCCAGAGCAGCCUUGGAGUCUGCUCGUUGAUCUGGAUGGGGCAGCCAUGCUUUUUGAGGAGCCCCAAAACACGUACUGAACCCAUCAGUCCUUGGGAUUGUAACCCAUUUGAGCCAAGUACGUGGAGAAUGGCCGCUCAGAGCACCCUCUUGCCACUGAGCCUCAGUGGUGUCGUUUAUCGCAUGUCCCUGCUCCACUAAGCGGAGCUUGUGGUUGUCUCAACUUAAUGGGAAGGGAACCUUAGGGUCGCGGAGCUCAGCUGCUAAUGAUAAUCCUGCUCGCCUGAGUUAAACGCGGAAGCAAGCAGGGGCCAGCGUUGUGGCGCUGCAGGUUAACGCCCUGGACUGAAGCGCCAGGAUCCCAUAUGGUGGCCGGUUCAAGACCCGGCUGCUUCACUUACGAUCCAACUCUCUGCAGUAGCCUGGGAAAGCAGAAGAUGGCCCAAGUCUAGGCCCCUGCACCCGUGUGGGAGACCCAGAAGAAGCUCCUGGCUCCUGGCUCUCAAAUAAAUAAAU